GACGAACGCUGGCGGCGUGCUUAACACAUGCAAGUCGAACGGAAAGGCCCUGCUUUUGUGGGGUGCCCGAUUGCCGAACGGGUGAGUAACACGUGAGUAACCUGCCCUUGACUUUGGGAUAACUUCAGGAAACUGGGGCUAAUAUCGGAUAGGAGCUCCUCCUCCAUGGUGGGGGUUGGAAAGUUUCGGCUGUUGGGGAUGGACUGGCGGCUUAUCAGCUAGUUGGUGGGGUAGGGGCUGACCAAGGCUUGGACGGAUAGCCGGCCUGGGAGGGUGGACGGCCACCAUAGGCCUGCGAUACGGCCCAGACUGCUACGUGAGGCAGCAGUGGAGAAUAUUGCACAGUGGGCGCGCGCCUGUGGCGGCAGCGCCGCGUUCGUGAUGCCGGCCUGCGGGUUGUGAACCGCUGUCGCCUGUGACGAAGCGUGAGUGACGGUAACGAGUAAAGAAGCACCGGCUAACUACGUG
rnacentral:rRNA from 1 species